GGGUAGCUGGUCUGAGAGGAUGGUCAGCCACACUGGGACUGAGACACUGCCCAGACUCCUACGGGAGGCUGCAGUCGAGGAUCAUUCACAAUGCGCGAAAGCGUGAUGAUGCGACGCUGCGUGGAGGAUGAAGGCCUUCGGGUUGUAAACUCCUGUCAUGAGGGAAAAGACGUUCGGCCGUUAAUAUCGGUUGGACCCGAUGGUACCUCAAGAGGAAGCCACGGCUAACUCUGUGCCAGCAGCCGCGGUAAUACAGAGGUGGCAAGCGUUGUUCGGAUUUACUGGGCGUAAAGCGUGCGUAGGUGGUUUCGUAUGUCGGGUGUGAAAGCCCACGGCUCAACCGUGGAACUGCAUCCGAAACUGCUAAGCUGGAGUGCAGGAGGGGAGAGCGGAAUUCUUGGUGUAGCGGUGAAAUGCGUUGAUAUCAAGAAGAACACCGGUGGCGAAGGCGGCUCUCUGGAAUGUUACUGACACUGAAGCACGAAAGCUGGGGGAGCGAACAGGAUUAGAUACCCUGGUAGUCCCAGCCGUAAACGGUGCGCACUUGGUGUAGGGGGUAUUGACCCCCCCUGUGCCGGAGCUAACGCGUUAAGUGCGCCGCCUGGGGAGUACGGCCGCAAGGCUAAAACUCAAAAAUUGACGGGGGCCCGCACAAGCGGAGGAGCAUGUGGCUUAAUUCGAUGCAACGCGAAGAACCUUACCUGGGCUUGACAUGUAACUGCAAAUCCUGUGAAAGCAGGACUCUUUCGAAGGUGUUACACAGGUGCUGCAUGGCUGUCGUCAGUUCGUGCCGUGAGGUGUUGGGUUAAGUCCCGCAACGAACGCAACCCUUGUGUUUAGUUGCCACCGGCGGUGAUGAGCCGUCGAGCACUCUAGACAGACUGCCCGUACAAGCGGGAGGAAGGUGGGGAUGACGUCAAGUCAGUAUGGCCCUUACGCCCAGGCUGCACACGUGCUACAAUGGCCGGUACAAUGGGAAGCAAAACCGCGAGGUGGAGCAAAUCCCCAAAGCUGGCCCAAGUUCGGAUUGGAGUCUGCAACUCGACUCCAUGAAGUCGGAUUCGCUAGUAACGGCGCAUCAGCUACGGCGCCGUGAAUACGUUCCCGGGCCUUGUACACACCGCCCGUCACAUCAUGAAAGCCGUCUGCACCCGAAGUCGCUGAGCUAACCCGCAAGGGAGGCAGGUGCCGAAGGUGUGGGUGGUGAUUGGGAUGAAGUCGUAACAAGGUA
rnacentral:rRNA from 1 species